UCAUCAACAUGUAAGAAAGAAAAGGUAAUAAAAGUCAAAAGCCGCCGGCUACUCUUAAUACCUCUAAGCCAAAACGACGCCGGCAAAGAGAACUCCAGCAAUGGCGGUUGCGGCAACGAAAGCCCUGUUGAUCCACCCGGCAUCGAAGCUUCCGUUUCCAGAAGGGGGAGAGUCGGCGCUCGGCUGCGCUGCGGGUUGGCCGGAGGGGGUGCCGCUCGGGGGAGCAGGUGGGGAGGAAGAAGAGCUGGGAGCGGGAGUAGGCUCGGCUGUGGGAGGAGUGACGGGGGUCGGAGUUGGGGGAGAGACGGGCGGUGGGGUUGGUGCGGGCGGUGGAGUGGCGGGCGGUGGGGUUGGUGCUG
rnacentral:lncRNA from 1 species